rnacentral:rRNA from 1 species
CACGUAGUUAGCCGGGGCUUCUUAGUCAGGUACCGUCUUGUCUCGUUCCUGCUGAUAGAGCUUUACAUACCGAAAUACUUCUUCACUCACGCGGCGUCGCUGCAUCAGGGUUUCCCCCAUUGUGCAAUAUUCCCCACUGCUGCCUCCCGUAGGAGUUUGGGCCGUGUCUCAGUCCCAAUGUGGCCGUCCACCCUCUCAGGCCGGCUACUGAUCGUCGCUUUGGUAGGCCGUUACCCUGCCAACUGGCUAAUCAGACGCGGGUCCAUCCCAUACCACCGGAGUUUUUCACACAGGAGCAUGCGCUCCCGUGCGCUUAUGCGGUAUUAGCACCUGUUUCCAGGUGGUAUCCCCCGGUAUGGGGCAGGUUACCCACGCGUUACUCACCCGUCCGCCACUAAGAUACUCAUUUCCAAAGUGCAAGCACUCCUUCCAUAAGCAUCCCCGUUCGACUUGCAUGUGUUAAGCACGCCGCCAGCGUUCAUCCUGAGCCAGGAUCAAACUCU